UGUCUCAUGUGCGCAAUGGAUAACGCGUCUGACUACGGAUCAGAAGAUUGUAGGUUCGACUCCUGGCUGGCUCGG